GCUCAGAUUGAACGCUGGCGGCAGGCCUAACACAUGCAAGUCGAGCGGCAGCACGGGUACUUGUACCUGGUGGCGAGCGGCGGACGGGUGAGUAAUGCCUAGGAAUCUGCCUGGUAGUGGGGGAUAACGUUCGGAAACGAACGCUAAUACCGCAUACGUCCUACGGGAGAAAGCAGGGGACCUUCGGGCCUUGCGCUAUCAGAUGAGCCUAGGUCGGAUUAGCUAGUUGGUGAGGUAAUGGCUCACCAAGGCGACGAUCCGUAACUGGUCUGAGAGGAUGAUCAGUCACACUGGAACUGAGACACGGUCCAGACUCCUACGGGAGGCAGCAGUGGGGAAUAUUGGACAAUGGGCGAAAGCCUGAUCCAGCCAUGCCGCGUGUGUGAAGAAGGUCUUCGGAUUGUAAAGCACUUUAAGUUGGGAGGAAGGGCAGUUACCUAAUACGUAAUUGUUUUGACGUUACCGACAGAAUAAGCACCGGCUAACUCUGUGCCAGCAGCCGCGGUAAUACAGAGGGUGCAAGCGUUAAUCGGAAUUACUGGGCGUAAAGCGCGCGUAGGUGGUUCGUUAAGUUGGAUGUGAAAUCCCCGGGCUCAACCUGGGAACUGCAUUCAAAACUGUCGAGCUAGAGUAUGGUAGAGGGUGGUGGAAUUUCCUGUGUAGCGGUGAAAUGCGUAGAUAUAGGAAGGAACACCAGUGGCGAAGGGCGACCACCUGGACUGAUACUGAC
rnacentral:rRNA from 1 species